rnacentral:rRNA from 1 species
UACAGAGGGUGCGAGCGUUGUUCGAAAUUAUUGGGCGUAAAGCGCUUGUAGGCGGCACGUCAAGUCGCGUGUGAAAUCCCCAGGCUUAACCUGGGAAGUGCGCGCGAAACUGACGAGCUUGAGUGCCGGAGAGGGUCGCGGAAUUCCCGGUGUAGAGGUGAAACUCGUAGAUAUCGGGAGGAACACCAGUGGCGAAGGCGGCGACCUGGACGGACACUGACGCUGAGACGCGAAAGCGUGGGGAGCAAACAGG